rnacentral:rRNA from 1 species
AGGACGAACGCUGGCGGCGCGCUUAACACAUGCAAGUCGAGCGAUGAAAUCUUGACAGAUCCCUUCGGGGUGAAGAUAAGAUGGAUUAGCAGCGGACGGGUGAGUAACACGUGAGUAACCUGCCUUAGACAUUGGGAUAGCCUCGGGAAACCGGGAUUAAUACCAAAUGAAAUCAUAGGUGCCCAUGCACUAAUGAUCAAAACUCCGGUGGUCUAAGAUGGACUCGCGUCCCAUUAGCUAGUUGGUGAGGUAACGGCCCACCAAGGCGACGAUGGGUAGCCGGCCUGAGAGGGUGAACGGCCACAUUGGAACUGAGAAACGGUCCAAACUCCUACGGGAGGCAGCAGUGGGGAAUAUUGCACAAUGGAGGGAACUCUGACGCAGCGACGCCGCGUGAACGAUGAAGGCUUUCGAGUCGUAAAGUUCUUUUAUAUGGGAAGAUAAUGACGGUACCAUAAGAAAAAGCCCCGGCUAACUACGUGCCAGCAGCCGCGGUAAUACGUAGGGGGCUAGCGUUGUCCGGAAUCACUGGGCGUAAAGGGUUCGCAGGCGGAAAUGCAAGUCAGAUGUAAAAGGCAGUAGCUUAACUACUGUAAGCAUUUGAAACUGCAUAUCUUGAGAAGAGUAGAGGUAAGUGGAAUUUUUAGUGUAGCGGUGAAAUGCGUAGAUAUUAAAAAGAAUACCGGUGGCGAAGGCGACUUACUGGGCUCAUUCUGACGCUGAGGAACGAAAGCGUGGGUAGCAAACAGGAUUAGAUACCCUGGUAGUCCACGCUGUAAACGAUGAGUGCUAGGUAUCGGAAUAAUUCGGUGCCGCAGUUAACACAUUAAG